GUCUCAAACUUCUGGCUUCAAACUAUCUGCCUGCCUCAGCCUCCCAAAGUGCUGGGAUUACAGGCGUGAGCACCGUGCCCUGCCUCUCUUCAAGGACUCUCUUUGCUACAUCGGCAUCACCUGGGAACGUGGUAGGGCUACAGAAUCUUGGGCCCCACCUUGGACCUACCUAAUCGUCAUCUUAUUCAUUGGUGUUCCCUUCGCCAGAGACCAGGUCGAUUGUCUUGGAGAAUGUCCCACAUUCAGCAUUUGUCUGCAUGCUUCCUUAUGGUGCCAUGCUCUUGUCCCUCUAUUCCAAGUGAGUGGAAGUUAGCUGGAGAAGUUUGACUAAAUUCAGGAUCAAGUUUUUGUGACAAGAAUAUUUCCUAGCUGGUGCUAUGUGCAUUUGCAUGGCAUCAGGAGGCAGAUGAUAUCUAGUUGGAAACAAGACUUUGGAUUUUACAAGCUAUGCUUUUGUAAGGAAAGGAACACAUUUAAAGGAGCUUUUUGACUGCUGUGCAAAGAAGAGACUGUGUAGGGCUGGGAGACAGAGCGAGGCGACUGUGAGAAUCCAGGCGGCACACAAUGGGGGCCCUGCCGGAGGUGCUGGCA
rnacentral:lncRNA from 1 species